UACAGAGGUCCCGAGCGUUGUUCGGAUUCAUUGGGCGUAAAGGGUGCGUAGGCGGCCAACUAAGUCAGACGUGAAAUCCCUCGGCUUAACCGGGGAACUGCGUCUGAUACUGGAUGGCUUGAGUUUGGGAGAGGGAUGCGGAAUUCCAGGUGUAGCGGUGAAAUGCGUAGAUAUCUGGAGGAACACCGGUGGCGAAGGCGGCAUCCUGGACCAACACUGACGCUGAUGAGCGAAAGCCAGGGGAGCAAACGGG
rnacentral:rRNA from 1 species